AAGCAAUAAAAUAAAAAAAAGGAAUUUAGGGUUACUUGUGGCUAUCAGACUUGCAAACUCAUCUUCUCUUUCUCUCUCACGAACACGACGGCGGCCGGAGCAUUUCACUAUCUCCGUCGAGCAACUUGCAGCGGUCAGAGAAAUCCGAUUCGGCUCCAUCUUGAUCUCCCUCGAUUCUGCUCGCGAUAUCCUCUUCUUCUUCUUUUUUUUUUUUGAUUCCUUCUUCUGAGUUGUUGAUGGCGCUGCGUCUUUGUUGUUGUCGAUAGGGUUGAAGAAUGAUUCGGUGAUGACGGUACUACUGAAGGUCGUCAAAGGAGAUUGAUGACGUUGCAAUUGCGAAUUCGUGGAGAUUGCGGUGAUAUCAUGGAUGAUUGAGGGUUCCAGAAUGAAGUUAAAGUGAUGAUAUGCGUUGGAGAUGAAGAUUGAAGAUGAUGCGAAAUAAACGCAAAGGAUGAAACAACUCUUCAGGAGAGUCUUGAGAUUGAUGAUUGGUGAAGAGGUUGAUUGUAUGGUGAAUUGUGAAAGAUGGUGAUGAAUGUUCAAGUGAAGAAUGGAAGAAGGCGAGGGUGAUGAUGAAUGAAUGAAGGUUGAGAAGAAGAUGAAGAAUGUUGAAGAGUGAAGCAAAGAAGUGGUGGAGGAUUGGUGUUGAUUGAUGAAGAUGAUGAGAGGCUCAAGGUGAGAAAAAUGGGAGAGAGUGAAGGUGAGUUUGAAGAAUGAAUAGAAAAAUGGUGGAGAGCUGAGAAAUGAAGAAUGGUUCUGUUAUAUAGAUAGGAGGUUGUGAGCAAUCAGUUGGAGGUUCAGCUCAGGUUUGAACAGGUGCGGAGCGUUGAAUGAUAGAAUGCGGGUGUUCGAAAUGGCUACAUGAUACAAGUGGUGGGGGUCAAAGAUGAAGAGCAAUUGAAGAUUAAUACAGGGAAUAGAUUUAGGACAAUGGUGUAGGAACUGUUUUGGUUUUGCUAUCACUAUGGUCAGCUGCACCCUGUUAAUAAUUAGGAAAAUUGUUGGCUGCUGCAAGUUUGAGUGUGUAUUAUAUGGUAUGUAACUCGUGUUUGAUAUUGUGAAUGAAAUGCACUAGACAGUGUAUGGAGCAUAAUGCAGUUGAUUAUGUAAUGAAAGUUGAAACUGUAUUGAUGCACCAUGUGAUGUAACUCAGUCAGGUCUUGAAAAUAUGAUUACACUUGAUAAUAGGAUUUGUGUAGUUUGACUUUAAAAUGUAACACCAUCAGUUUGAAUGAAUCUUGUGCCCCUUUGAAAUUGGUCUUGAAUUUGUAAUAGCUUGAAUGUAAUAGUUCUUGUAUAGAUCAUGACUUUCUUGGAAAUGAGAUAUUGGCUUUGUGGCUUGUAACUCGAAUUGUAGGUAGAUCCAUAUAAAUUGCAUUUUUUUAUUAACAAGAGUCGGGUUUUAAUGCCGCGGUCAAGCUCACGUCCAUAGAUAAUUAGAUUCACGAAUUUGAUUGGACAACCGUGAAUCAAGUAGCUUUGAUAAAGAAAUUUGAAUCAAUGCCCCAAAUUCAACUUUAAAUCAGCAGGAUCUCAAUUUUUCAAAUCAGGUUAACUUGCUUGAUAAGCAACAUAUGAUUGAAAGAAUAAUUAUCGAUUCCAUAGCAAUACUUUGAAGAAUCUUUGGAGAUGAAUCAAACUUGAAGUAUAGAAAUAAUGAAAACCUAAAGUCCAUCCUCCAAAUGAACUCCAAGCCCACCUGAGUGAUGAUCCGAGAACUUUAUCCUUCCACGAGAUACGCACUUAAUGUCUUUUUCUUAGAGAUCUUGAUGAAAAUGCUUAUUGUAGCUUGAUAACCUUAAAUGAAGAGGAGAGUCUCAAAAUCAUAAAGAAGCCCUUAUUACUAAGAUCCUUGAUCCCAAUGCCAAGUUAUUAAAUAAAUGAAUGUAUGAUGAUGCAAUGACCUGAUGGAGAAUAUGCAAAUGGAGGCAACACUUAAGCCGAUUAGAAAAAAAUCAGAUGGGCAAAUUUUGGGGUGCAACAGCUGCCCCUAUUUAAUCAUCUUAAACCUGAAGGUGAGAUUGGUGUUAUCCUUUCGAGCAAUCAAGGUAGAAGAAGAUUAAAUAUCAAGUGAACCUGAAAAUUUGCCUGAUGAGAGAUAGGAUCCACUGGGGAA